GACGAGCGCUGGCGGCGUGCUUAACACAUGCAAGUCGAACGGAAAGGCCCUGCUUUUGUGGGGUGCUCGAGUGGCGAACGGGUGAGUAACACGUGAGUAACCUGCCCUUGACUUUGGGAUAACUUCAGGAAACUGGGGCUAAUACCGGAUAGGAGCUCCUGCUGCAUGGUGGGGGUUGGAAAGUUUCGGCGGUUGGGGAUGGACUCGCGGCUUAUCAGCUUGUUGGUGGGGUAGUGGCUUACCAAGGCUUUGACGGGUAGCCGGCCUGAGAGGGUGACCGGCCACAUUGGGACUGCGAUACGGCCCAGACUCCUACGGGAGGCAGCAGUGGGGAAUAUUGCACAAUGGGCGGAAGCCUGAUGCAGCAACGCCGCGUGCGGGAUGACGGCCUUCGGGUUGUAAACCGCUUUCGCCUGUGACGAAGCGUGAGUGACGGUAAUGGGUAAAGAAGCACCGGCUAACUACGUG
rnacentral:rRNA from 1 species